GUGACGGAGGUGUUUUUGUCUCUAGCCGCCACUGUUCCCGCUCUCUCGGUGCUGCCUCCCUCCAGAGACGAGCUGCAGCAGGGGAAGGCUACAGUGCUGUGUGUCCUCAGUAAGGGAUUCCCCUCUGACUGGAAGCUGAGCUGGAAGGUGGACGAUCGCGGCAGGAGCUCCGGUGUCAGUCUGAGUCCCGGUCAGCUGCAGAAGGACGGACUGUACAGCUGGAGCAGCAGCCUGAGCCUCAGUGAGAGAGAGUGGAGCGGAGCAACAAGCGUCAGCUGUGAGGCCACGCACCCGGACCAGAGUGUGGUGACAGGCAGACUCCAAACACAGCAGUGUGAACAUCAGUGACACACACACACACACACACACACACUGAUUAUAGGCAUGCAUAAUCAUUUGUGCACUUGUGAACAUAAACCUGAUUCCAAUUUGCUUUGCAUGAUAAUCUUUUUAAUGCUUGUUUAACGCAUAUGAUCAAGUCUGUUUGCUUUAUUUUUGAACGUUAAAUAAAAGCUUUGUGACUCAUUAA